CUUCAGCGAUUUGCUCACACCUUUACGUUGGUGCUGAAGAUAAGUACGCCAGUCGAGCGGAAACCAAGAUGAGC
rnacentral:ribozyme from 1 species